AACGGGUGAGUAACGCGUGAGGAACCUGCCUCAAAGAGGGGGACAACAGUUGGAAACGACUGCUAAUACCGCAUAAGCCCACGGCUCGGCAUCGAGCAGAGGGAAAAGGAGCAAUCCGCUUUGAGAUGGCCUCGCGUCCGAUUAGCUAGUUGGUGAGGUAACGGCCCACCAAGGCGACGAUCGGUAGCCGGACUGAGAGGUUGAACGGCCACAUUGGGACUGAGACACGGCCCAGACUCCUACGGGAGGCAGCAGUGGGGAAUAUUGCACAAUGGGGGAAGCCCUGAUGCAGCGACGCCGCGUGGAGGAAGAAGGUCUUCGGAUUGUAAACUCCUGUUGUUGAGGAAGAUAAUGACGGUACUCAGCAAGGAAGUGACGGCUAACUACGUGCCAGCAGCCGCGGUAAAACGUAGGUCACAAGCGUUGUCCGGAAUUACUGGGUGUAAAGGGAGCGCAGGCGGGAGAACAAGUUGGAAGUGAAAUCCAUGGGCUCAACCCAUGAACUGCUUUCAAAACUGUUUUUCUUGAGUAGUGCAGAGGUAGGCGGAAUUCCCGGUGUAGCGGUGGAAUGCGUAGAUAUCGGGAGGAACACCAGUGGCGAAGGCGGCCUACUGGGCACCAACUGACGCUGAGGCUCG
rnacentral:rRNA from 1 species